AGCCGGGCCGGGCGGCGGCGGCGGCGCGGGCGGCGGGGUGGGCGCGCUCCCGAGCUCCGUGCCCGGCCGGGUGGGACGGGGCCGCGCCGCUCCCAAGGGGCGGUGGAAGCGCGGGGCUGACUCAGGUGGGAUGCGCUGGUGUCGCCGCGCCUGACCGGGGUACUGCUCUGGGGUGGUCGUAGCGUGGGAGCUGUGCUGCUAGAGAAUAAAGUGUAACACGCUGGAGUCCAAGUUCUAUUCUUUUCUGCACAGGCUAGCAGGAACAACAUUUGAAUUUCUGAACAGCAUUGUAUUUUGUGAAUAUCAAAGAAAAAAUGGGGUGAAUAAUCUCUCAGAGAUGUUUUGAGACCUCUGAGUGUCCUUUGCCUUUUCAUAAGCAAUUGCUUUAAAUGGAAAGAAGUUGUUUACAAGGAAUUAUGCCACAAGCAGUUGCCUCCAAAGAAUAACACGUAGUACUGCAUGCUUGAACUAACAGGAAAUUGGUAAGUGCUGCCUCAUCACAGUGUGUUCUUGGCGAUGCACCUGAUACUGCAGUUUCUAGUACACAAACUGUGCCAAGGUAAGCUUACUUGGGUGUGUGGGGGUGUGACACCCACAGGAGCAAAAAUGUAAAAAUUAAGCCUUAUUGCAGUGGAUAUAAGUAAAAUUAUUGGCAGCAUUGCAAGUUAAAAAUCAAUAGGUUUUGGAAAAUAAAGUGUUUACUUUUUUUCUAAGACAGAAGAGGUUUUUCUUUAAUGUUCUUAAAUUUUCUGUAUGUAUUUAAUCUGUAGUUCCUCAUUUUUCUGCUAUCACUAAGAUGAUGACCCCACUUAUUAGAGUAUUCAACUCGAAAUCCUUGGUAAACACAGUUACCCACUGUAACCGAGCCCGUUGUUAAUACCAGUAAAAAAAUGUAGGCAGGUUUUUAUUUCUUCGUUCCCUAUCCAUUUCCUUAAAAUAGGGAAAUUUGCUUUGCACAGAUAUAAAUGAUAAAAAUUGAAGGAUGGAUUAAAAAACAAAGAAUAAAGUUGAGAACGUUACAUCAGUGUGAGGUCCAAAGAACAGUGUGUUAAUAAUACUUCUGGAGCUACUUGUUUUUGUGCUGACUGAAAUAUUAUUGCUAAUUUAGUCUUAAGUUUAGGUUUAGGAUUGACAGUGAAGUUACUAAUUGAACAUAUUUUGCACAGAGUGUUCUACAGUGUAUAAUUAUCUAUACGUAACAGUGCAAAAUAGAGAAGGAGCAGAGAUAGCCAGGUGAUGUGGAACAGAGUCUGAGGGGAGCUGGAAACUCAUUCAUCCUCUCAGAAAAAUAAACUUUGUUUAAUCCUGUAAGACCAUGAACUUUCUUGCUGUAAAGGAGAGAUGAGCAAAUAGAAUUUGCUGCAUUCGUCUUUUCUGUUAAGUUAGAAUUUUUUGAAGUGAUGACUUUUAUAAAGAAGAUGUUUUAAUGGAUAAAUUAGGAAUUUUGAAUGUGUAAGUAAAGCAGAGAUUGUGGGAGCUGAUUAACUUGUGGCAGGAGAACUCUCCCAUACUGCAAUGACUUACUGUUAUACAUGGAUCCAUAGGAUGCCUUUUCUGGAUAAUGACGUUUUGUUGUUUUCUCCUCUAUGUAUCAUCGAUGUUUGUUUGAAUCUGAUUCAUGUUCUGAACAAGAAGAAAUUUUCAGGCAAGGUUUCUUCACAUUCUGCGGUGCCUUUUUUCCCUCACCUUCACUCUUCUUUGGUUCAGUCCAUGGCUAUGCUGAUGGAUUAAGUCACUUCACUCUUUCUGCUGCCUUUAAAUCUUGUUUUUAGACAUGCAAAACCACCAUGGACAUGGCAAUCAGAAGAGUACUCUUUAAUUUACUAAUCUGUCAUACAUCUGUGUUUCUGUAAGUAAAAGCCUCUUCUAAAAUACACUUGUGAAAACAAGCAAACAAAAACCCCGCCACAACAAGUACCUGAAAAUGUAAAUGAAAAUGAAGACACACAUAUUGGUGUGGUACCAAAACUGAAUUACAAACUGGGCUUUGGGAAAGUCCUUUCUCCACUCUUUGUUCAGUUUUGUAUGUUUUUCUCUUGCGGUGGUCAUUUAAUUGCAAUUAACUGCAGAGGAUGAAAUGAUAAUAUGCUGUAAAGCAGAAGUUAAGUGAGAAACAAGAGAUUUAAACCAACCUCGGGAAGGAAAGAAACCAGCUGUAUGGUACUGCAUAGUUGAUCUGUUAGAUAAAUCACCACAAACACUGCUGAAUAAAUGAACACAUAGAAAUGACUUUGAACUCUCUCGCAACCACCUUUUCCUGCAUCAUGAUUCUUGCUAUCCCUUUCCUGGAACAAAAAUAAAAAUACAUUGAGACAGCUGCACCGUGAGAAUUUCUCUACAAGUCAAUGAAGUAACCGUAAUCCUUGCUUUUCUGGAUGACUCUUGCACAACGCACUUAAAACACUGUAGAAGACACAAUGGAAUGAGAGCUGUAUAAUGGGCUUGUACAAAGAAAAACUGGUACUUAAUAGCCUUGAGAAAAAUGUGGCUGCCACAGCUCCUGACUGAAAUCUUAAAUUCACUGACUGUAUGGAUGAGCUGCAAGUUCCUUUGCCAUCACUUUCUGUUUACGGAAGGAACACAUUUGUAUAUACUUCACAGAUUCAUCUUGAAGCACUAGCAUUUUAAGUAGAUGUGAAGGAGCAUUAUGACAAGGCUUAGCAGUAUGAUUACUAGCGGAUAAAGUGUCAUCAAAUAAAACAAGAAGAGGAUGAAUUGGGAUGUCACUUCGGGAAGUAACCUCAGAGAUAAAUAGAAUACCUUUGGAAGCCUUUAGAUGACUUUUUGGAGUAUAUUAUGUAAUAAAUCUGACUAGUCAGAAAUUCAAAAUACACAAGAUUUUUUCUCUCCCUCUCCCUUCCUCCCCAGAUGUUAUGUGAAUGUCCAGAAAUUCUGGUUAUUUUUAUGUAGCCAUAAAUACCUAACAUCUGUAUCAUAUAUAAAAGCUCCAAGUGGUACACUGGAUUCAGAACCAAAUCUAAAUCAUUGAAAGACUCAAUUAAAUUUUGGGUGGUUUAGAUUAAUCACAAAAAUAUCCUUUCUCCUUAAGUUUUCUGAAGCUGCAUGGUCUAAAGUUUGUGGGUAUUUUUAUUUUAGAUUGACUUUUUAUUCCUUAUUUAAUCUUAAUUUUACUGAAGUGACAUCCUUCUAUCAGAGUAAAUGACGGUGAACAUUUACAGCAACCAUUUGAGACAGGGAUUAUUAAAUUUUCAGGCAUCCCUGAUGGAACCAGGAGGACUUCCAUAUUUUUUACCUAGUCACUGAAAACAUCCAAGUAAAUCUCUUGUCCUGUUAAAGGAUUCAUUAUGCAACAACAGCAAGCUGCCUGCUGUAGAACUGGAUAAGGUAUGUUGGAUUCAGAAGGAGGAAGUCCACACCCUUCCUUCUUCCUGGGCCAACACAGCUAGUUAAAACAUUAUUAACUGUAGCAUAAGGAUCUGUCUUCUCCUGGGAGUUACUUGUUUGUGACAAUGAUAGGAUGUAUUUCAGAGGGGUGCUAACAACUGACAUUUAGUAUUAGCGUAAAUGUUAAAUGGCUACCUAAAUCCCUGUGAACUGAAUCAUCUUUAUGUAGAAGUCAUCUUUUUAGGAUACUAUAUAUCCUAUAAUGGGAAUGCUUAACUACUAUGUCUUUUUCCACUUAUCCAGUAUAGUUCUUCUGUCCUUCAUGAAUAAAUUAGCAUGCCUAAAUAACCCUGUACUUUUAUUGAUUAGCCUAUAAACAUUUUUCUGAUUCAACUAUCCAUCCAGAAAUAACAAUCCAGUAACAAAAAUAAAGCAUCCAGUAUAACACCUUCAGAGGUGAAAAUUCAACUCUUCUUAACUUAAUGAUUUAGCUUCCAGUGAUAAUGAUACAUGAUUAAACCAUUGCUUGUGUAACAUAUCUAUUGAAGGCCAGUGUUCUUGCGCCAUUAAAAUAUUAAAGCCAAUGCAUAGUGUGUAGUCUCUAUACCACAACUGGUACACAGUAUGUUUUGGGUAAUGUCAUUCUUCUCUCAGUGUGAGCAGAUAUUCUUAGUACUCACUAAUGUCCCAGCAAGUCAAAAGGGAAAUAAAUGAGAAGAAUAUAAAAGCAGGACAGAAUGUAGAUGAGAAUAAAAGUGUGCAUGCAAAUGAAAGUAUGUGAUGGUGGCAGGAAGUAAUUGCAUUGUAAGUCUCCUACCUUUUUUUCCAGGUUUUGCAGUAUUCUCCAAACUCUGAAAUCAUAGUAAUGGAUAAAACAAUCUUUAUUAAAAAUCAACACAACAACAAAAAACCGCAAUGGCCCACUGUUAUUAGGCUGUAUAGAUAUGCCGUGUACAGCUUGUUACUAUUUGCUGAUUUUCAAUUAAUUCAUUAAGAUCAGCUCUCAUUUUUUAAUUUUCAGUAAUCAGUGUCACUCUGUUAUGAAAGCACCUCUGCAGUCUAGACAGUACAUACUCAUUUAUGUGAUAAAUAAUGAAUAAACAGUGAGUGUGCCAUUAGCCGUUAAUGCAGUAGAUUGAUUCCCUGCAGCACAUACUCUCUAUCCUUGUUUUAGCACUUAUGCCACCUGUCUCUUGCACUUACUGCGUGAUGCUUCAAUAAUGCGAAUGGGGUUCCCUGAUCAUUCUUAAUUUAGCUUGUUUUUAUUACCUCAUAAAUAGGUCGGCACUGAUAUGACAGAUGUGCAGUCAGAGGGUGUCUCACUACUACCUUCAUGAUUGCUAUUACUGCUCAUCCCAUGGUUUAACCCAAUACAGAUUACUUGUGGAUGGACCGAUAGAAUCAGUCAACCUUUUUUCUUUUCACAUAUUUCUGUUUCAACGUAUCUCUACUGCUUUGGCCAAGCGGCUAGGACAAAAGCAAUUUAAUUGAAAUCUCUGUUCCCUUUUCCUUCAGAUAUAGGAACAAGGUUUCAAAGUGAAUUAAAACAAACAGAAAGAUGAGCUCAGUAAGUCAUCAGGACAGAUUGGCAUUCAACCAAGAUUUUGAAGGAACUCGUAUGUGAAAUGGGAGAACUGCUGGCCAAGGUGCCUCACAAAUUAUAGAAAAGGGCCCCUGUGCCUGACUGUCGGUGUAACUUCUUCCUGCCAAAAACACUCUUAAAGAGGUUUGGGGAACUGCAGACCAGUAGCUGACUCUAUUCCUGAUAAGAUAGUGGAGCGCAUCUUACAGAGUAAGAUGCCUGAUCACACAGAUAAACAUCACCUAUUGGGAAGAAGUCAGCGUGGCUUCCGUAGAAGUAAAGGCCAUUUGAAGAGCCUACCAAGGUUCUAUGAGGGGAGUCAAUAAGAGCAAGAAUAAAGAAUGUUUGGGAAAUAAAAUAUUUGGGGUUUUCAAAAGUUCUUUCAUUCCACAUGAGUGAUUAUUAAAAAAAUAUAAUUUCCCAUGGAGGUGUUCCUUUAUGGACUGAAAGCUGGUUAAAGGGUUAUGAGGAUGAAUGGGUGUGAUGGUCAGUACUAAAGGUGGGGUCAGUUAUUGGAAUUCAGCUAGGAAGAACAUCUGGUUCAUGAGAGAGUGAAAAACCAAGGAAUUUUCACUUAGGAAAGAAGAAGGUUGAGGGAUGUAUGACCUAAUUCUUAAAGACAGUGCAACACUAAAAUAAAGAGAAAUUCAAUAACAUAGCAGAACCUUAGUUUAAAAUGCAUUUUAAGAGCAAUACCUCACAGAGCUUUUGGAAUCUGUUGUCUCACCCAAAAUUGUAUCUCCUUCUGACAAAUUUGUAGAGAUAAUAUUGGGCUAAGUAGGCCAGUGGUCUGAAAUAAGAAUGUUCAUAUGUUCUUGUGUAGCAUUUGAGGCUCUCCUAGAAAACAUCUAGUGUAUGUUGCAUCUCAUUGACACACCUUUGUCACUGUUUUGAGUCAAAACCGUGAAAAUAAGGGAAAAAGCCUGCAGUUUCACAGACACAAAUUAAAGACUGAUCAGCAAGAUAGAGAUGCUGCAGAAUUCAAAGGUGCAUCCAACAAAGGAAGAAAAUAGAAGGCUGAAAGAAGGAGGAUGUAUGUAGGAAACGGAGAAGACACAGUUUCAGCCUUGCUAGAGUCUGUGUGUGAACAAUGAUUUUCUGUAUGACACAGCAGUAUGCAUUAACAUUGCCAGUGGGACAGUUGGUGACUGAUGUGACUGUUGUUACUCUAUGUGAACUGGAUGCCUUUGACCUAUGACAAGGUAUUAGAUGGUGCACAGUGCCAGAUUAGAACAAGAACUUACAUUAAACUGUAGGAAAGAUGGGUAAAAUAAGGCAUAAGUAAGGAUGGACAUAACUAACUGGAAGAGGAACUUUUCCUCAAAUAAUCCAGUGAUUAAAGCAGUCACCAGGAAUAUGAAAAAGUUCAGUUCUUCCCAGUAGCAGAAAAUACUAGAAUCUGUAGCUCCAAUUCCUUAUUGUCUCCAACAUGCUGGAGGAUAUGCUAGAAGGGAAGUCUGCUUUUAAUUAUUUUCGAUGACUGUAUAUUUGGUAUAAAUAGUAAAACUGUUAUUGUAGUGGUUAGUGUACAGGUUUCAUUUCUGAAGCAGAACUGAAAUUUUCUUGCGACCUUGGCUGCUGACUUGGCUGCUGUUUUAUGCAAAGGAAAAAAAUAUAAGCAGUAGAAAAUUCUGUUGUUCCAUAGCUUAGCUAUUAAGGCUGUCAUGUGCAGACAGAGGGAGAGCUGGUCUGAAUCAACUCUGUGCCUCGUUUAUGUAUGACCAUGACUUUCUAGCCUUGUGUUUGGGUUGCUCUCUUGCGUAAAGAACUGGUGUCUGCUCAUAUCUUGGGUAGAAGUUCUAAUCCUUAAGUUACUAGCUAAAAAGUGGGGACAAAAGAGUAGUGAAAAACAUUAUUUUUGCAAUUGUCACUGCUUCUCAAAAGCAACUUUCGGUCAAAAGUAUUAAAGCAUUUGAACAAAUAUUGACAAAUAAAUUCAAGACCAUUAA